rnacentral:rRNA from 1 species
GCAGUCGAGCGGACAGAUGGGAGCUUGCUCCCUGAUGUUAGCGGCGGACGGGUGAGUAACACGUGGGUAACCUGCCUGUAAGACUGGGAUAACUCCGGGAAACCGGGGCUAAUACCGGAUGGUUGUUUGAACCGCAUGGUUCAAACAUAAAAGGUGGCUUCGGCUACCACUUACAGAUGGACCCGCGGCGCAUUAGCUAGUUGGUGAGGUAACGGCUCACCAAGGCAACGAUGCGUAGCCGACCUGAGAGGGUGAUCGGCCACACUGGGACUGAGACACGGCCCAGACUCCUACGGGAGGCAGCAGUAGGGAAUCUUCCGCAAUGGACGAAAGUCUGACGGAGCAACGCCGCGUGAGUGAUGAAGGUUUUCGGAUCGUAAAGCUCUGUUGUUAGGGAAGAACAAGUACCGUUCGAAUAGGGCGGUACCUUGACGGUACCUAACCAGAAAGCCACGGCUAACUACGUGCCAGCAGCCGCGGUAAUACGUAGGUGGCAAGCGUUGUCCGGAAUUAUUGGGCGUAAAGGGCUCGCAGGCGGUUUCUUAAGUCUGAUGUGAAAGCCCCCGGCUCAACCGGGGAGGGUCAUUGGAAACUGGGGAACUUGAGUGCAGAAGAGGAGAGUGGAAUUCCACGUGUAGCGGUGAAAUGCGUAGAGAUGUGGAGGAACACCAGUGGCGAAGGCGACUCUCUGGUCUGUAACUGACGCUGAGGAGCGAAAGCGUGGGGAGCGAACAGGAUUAGAUACCCUGGUAGUCCACGCCGUAAACGAUGAGUGCUAAGUGUUAGGGGGUUUCCGCCCCUUAGUGCUGCAGCUAACGCAUUAAGCACUCCGCCUGGGGAGUACGGGUCGCAAGACUGAAACUCAAAGGA